rnacentral:rRNA from 1 species
UACGGAGUGUGCGAGCGUUACUCGGAAUCACGGGGCUUAAAGAGCACGUAGGUGGAGGCGCAAGUCGGUAGUGAAAUCCCCCGGCUCAACCGGGGACGGUCUGCCGAAACUGUGUUUCUUGAGGACGAGAGGGGAGAGUGGAACUUCUGGUGGAGCGGUGAAAUGCGUAGAUAUCAGAAGGAACACCGGUGGCGAAAGCGACUCUCUGGCUCGUUUCUGACGCUGAGGUGCGAAAGCUAGGGGAGCAAACGGG